GAUGAAGAACGUAGCGAAAUGCGAUAAGUAGUGUGAAUUGCAGAAUUCAGUGAAUCAUCGAAUCUUUGAACGCACAUUGCGCCCCAUGGUAUUCCGUGGGGCAUGCCUGUUCGAGCGUCAUUUACCCCCUCAAGCUCCGCUUGGUGUUGGGCGUCUGUCCCGCUUCGCGCGCGGACUCGCCCCAAAGGUAUUGGCAGCGGUCGUGCCAGCUUCUCGCCCAGCACAUUGCGCUUCUCGAGGCACCGGUGGGCCCGCGUCCAUCAAGCUCACCCCCCCAGUUUGACCUCGGAUCAGGUAGGGAUACCCGCUGAACUUAAGCAUAUCAAUAAGCGGAGGA
rnacentral:misc_RNA from 1 species